rnacentral:rRNA from 1 species
UACGGGGGGGGGCAAGCGUUGUUCGGAAUUACUGGGCGUAAAGGGCUCGUAGGCGGCCAACUAAGUCAGACGUGAAAUCCCUCGGCUUAACCGGGGAACUGCGUCUGAUACUGGUUGGCUUGAGUGUGGGAGAGGGAUGCGGAAUUCCAGGUGUAACGGUGAAAUGCGUAGAUAUCUGGAGGAACACCGGUGGCGAAGGCAGCACUCUGGGCCGGUACUGACGCUGAGGAGCGAAAGCGUGGGGAGCAAACAGG